rnacentral:rRNA from 1 species
ACGUUCACUCCUACGGGAGGCAGCAGUGGGGAAUAUUGCACAAUGGGCGCAAGCCUGAUGCAGCCAUGCCGCGUGUAUGAAGAAGGCCUUCGGGUUGUAAAGUACUUUCAGCGGGGAGGAAGGCGAUAAGGUUAAUAACCUUGUUGAUUGACGUUACCCGCAGAAGAAGCACCGGCUAACUCCGUGCCAGCAGCCGCGGUAAUACGGAGGGUGCAAGCGUUAAUCGGAAUUACUGGGCGUAAAGCGCACGCAGGCGGUCUGUCAAGUCGGAUGUGAAAUCCCCGGGCUCAACCUGGGAACUGCAUUCGAAACUGGCAGGCUAGAGUCUUGUAGAGGGGGGUAGAAUUCCAGGUGUAGCGGUGAAAUGCGUAGAGAUCUGGAGGAAUACCGGUGGCGAAGGCGGCCCCCUGGACAAAGACUGACGCUCAGGUGCGAAAGCGUGGGGAGCAAACAGGAUUAGAUACCCCGGUAGUCCCA